CAGCCAUAGCACUGCUGGGUUUAUACUGCAAAGAGAUAAUAAGGAAAAAGGCAUGUACAAAAAUAUUCAUAGCUGCACUCUUUGUAGUGGCAAAAAAUUGGAAAAUGAGGGGAUGCCCUUCAAUUGGGGAAUUGUGGUAUUUGCUGGUGAUGGAAUACUAUUGUGCUCAAAGGAAUAAUGAACUGGAGGGAUUCCAUGUGAACUGGAACAACCUCCAGGAACUGAUGCAGAGUGAAAGGAGCAGAACCAGGAGAACAUUGUGCACAGAGACGGAUACACUGUGGCACAAUUGAAUGUAAUGGGCAAUGCUAGUAGAGAAGGACAAUUCUGAGGCACUUAUGAGAAAGAUGCUAUCCACAUCCAGAGGAAGAACUGUGGGAUCGGAAAUGCAGAAGAAAAACAACUGCUUGAUCACAUGGGUUAAUGGGGAUAUGAUUGGGGAUGUAGACUCUAAGCGAUCACCCUAAUGCAAAUAUCAGUAAUAUGGAAAUAGGGCUUGAUCAGCAACACAUGUGGAAUUGUGUGUUGGCUAUGGGAGGGGAUGGGAGGAGGGAAAGAACAUGAUUUUUAUAAUCCUGGGAAAAUGCUCUACAUUAAUCAAUAAAAUAAAAUAAACUGGUUUUGAAUGGUUUAAGCUGGUUUGGUGGUUUGAACUGUUUUAAGGAAAGGAAACGACUACAUUUUGAUUGACAGAGACACGUGACAUAGAAUCUGAUCAGACCCUGGGUCAAGAUUCCAAGCAAGGAGGUUGGGGGGAGGUUUGUCCCAACUGCCAACAGUCAUUCUCUCUGGAGAAGGAGGAGCAGGAAGGCUUUGGCUUGUGGCUGCAUUUUCAACUAUAUACAAAGAUACAACUGGCUCUGGAAGACUUCAGCUGGGGAGAGACUGCUUCAGCCAGGCUGGACUGGAGAAUAUAAGGAAGAUCAUCAAGCUUGGCUGGGAGCUGCUGUGACCUUUCCUCUGGGAAUCUGGCCCAUCUUGGAUUCAAUUUUGGCCCAGGUUUAUUAUUUUCUCCAUCGGUUCAUCAAUCAACAAACAUUAAGUACCUACUAUGUGCUGGUCGUCAGCCUCAGAGCAUGGAUUCCUUGUCAGAGUUACUAAAUGGUGACUAAGAGUCACAUCGCCCAAGUUCCAGGCCUUUCAUGUGGGAGGCUCUCUGUCUAUGUAAAGGAACAUUUUUUCCUGGCUCGGCCUCUUCAUAGUCAUCCUGGGUUCUUUGCGUCUUCAAAGUGCCGCUCUGGUGCUGAAUAAUUAAUUCUCCGUCUGCUCCUGGGAAAGGGAAUAAAUAAAUGUACCUUUUAUAGGGCGAUGAGGGC
rnacentral:lncRNA from 1 species